GGGGAUUUAAACCAAGAAUAGAAAAAGGGAGGAGAGGCUACAUAGGGUAAACCUUAUUGGGAAGAUUUGUGUAUACCCUUAGGUACUAGCAAAUGGCCUUUGAUCAAAGCAGGCUAACCGGACAUGGUUUUCAAGCCCUGAACUUGGGCUUAUAGCUGGAGGCUUCCUUACAGGACAAGACUCCCACACAUGGAGAUCCAAGAUGGUAGAAUCUGGGCAAAGUGUGGGAAUGAUGACAGAAGGAUGAAAGAUGUUGGGAUCUACAGGUUGUUUUUAUUUAUUUU